GGUGAGAUGCCCGAGUGGUUAAAGGGAACGGGCUGUAAACCCGUCGGCAAUAGCCUACGAAGGUUCGAAUCCUUCUCUCACCACCA
rnacentral:tRNA from 1 species